rnacentral:rRNA from 1 species
ACACUUAUGAGUUUUAUCCUGGCUCAGAAUGAACGCUAAUAGUAUGCUUAACACAUGCAAGUCUAACGGUAAUAUAGUUUUUAAACUAUUUUAUCGUGGCGUACGGGUGAGUAGUAUGCAGAAUGCUACCUUUUAGUAUAGAACAACAUUUUAGUGAUUUCACUAACAUAAAUUCUGUAUAUUUAUAAAGGAAUUAAUAUGAUAAAAUAUAUUUUUCCGCUAAAAGAUGGGUCUGUGUAAGAUUAGGUAGUUGGUAAAUUUAACAGCUUACCAAGCCUUCGAUCUUUAGUUGAUCUUAGAGGAUGAUCAACCACACUGGAACUGAAAUAAGGUCCAGGCUGAAUUUUUCGGCCAGCAGUGAGGAAUAUUGGACAAUGAACGAAAGUUUGAUCCAGCAAUACUAUAUGAAUGAAGACGGCUUUUUAGUUGUAAAUUUCUUUCGUUAAGAAUGAUAAUGACAUUACUUAAAGAAUGUUUUAGUCCCGGCUAAUACUCGUGCCAGCAGCCGCGGUAAUACGGGAGGGGCAAGCGUUAUUCGCCAUGACUGGGCGUAAAGUGUCCGUAGACUGUAAAGUAAGUUAUCUGUUAAAUUUUAAAGCCUAACUUUAAAUCAGCUUUUAAUACUGCUUUACUUGAGUUUUAUACAGAAGAGUAGAAUUUUAUAUGAAAGGGUAAAAUCUAAACAUAUAUAAAGGAAUACCAUUAGCGAAGGCGACUCUUUGGUAAAAACUGACGUUAAGGGACGAAAGUGUGGGGAGCAAACAGGAUUAGAUACCCUGGUAGUCCACACCGUAAAUACUGAGUGCUGUAAUUUAAUGUAAGCUAUAAAAAGCAUUAUUUAGAUUUUUAAGCUAACGCUAUAAGCACUCCGCCUGAGAAGUAUGAUCGCAAGAUUGGAACUCAAAGGAAUUGACGGGGGCUAAUACUAGUGGUGGAGCAUGUGGUUUAAUGCGAUACUCCGCGCAAAACCUUACCAAUUUUUGACAUAAAGUUUAUUUUUUAACGUUUGGAUUAACAGAUUUUAAUUAAAAAAUCUUUACAGGUGUUGCACGGCUGUCGUCAGCUCGUGUCGUGAGAUGUUUGGUUGAUUCCCUUAACGGGCGAAACUCUUAUCUUUAAUUUUCGUUUUAACUAUUUUAAAAUAUAAUAACUUGUUUUAAAAAGCUUUAAAUGAUACGGUCAAUGAUAAGUUGAAGGAAGGUGAGAACGAAGUCAAGUCAAUGUGACCCUGAUAAAUUGGGCUACACAUGUGCUACAAUGAAAAUUACAAUAAGUAACAAAAAUUCAAAUUUUAGUUAAUCUCUAAAGAUUUUCCCAGUUCGGAUUGUAAGCUGAAACUCGUUUGCAUGAAGUUGGAAUCACUAGUAAUCGCAAAUCAGAACGUUGCGGUGAAUAUGUCAAUUAGCCUUGUACACACCGCCCGUCACAUGCAGAAAAUCAGUUUUUUUUGAAGAUUUGACUCUGUUAAGUUUAUUGAAAAAUUGGUAAUUUGGAUGAAGUCGUAACAAGGUAGCUGUACGGGAACGUGUAGCUGGAAAAAAUGAAAA